rnacentral:rRNA from 1 species
UACGUAGGGGGCAAGCGUUGUCCGGAAUCAUUGGGCGUAAAGAGCGUGUAGGCGGCCCGAUAAGUCCGCUGUGAAAGUCCAGGGCUCAACCCUGGGAUGCCGGUGGAUACUGUCGGGCUCGAGUCCGGAAGAGGAGUGUGGAAUUCCUGGUGUAGCGGUGAAAUGCGCAGAUAUCGGGAGGAACACCAGUGGCGAAGGCGACUACCUGGCCUGUUCUUGACGCUGAGGCGCGAAAGCUAGGGGAGCAAACGGG